rnacentral:rRNA from 1 species
UACGGGGGGUGCAAGCGUUGUUCGGAAUUAUUGGGCGUAAAGCGCACGUAGGCGGAUCUGUAAGUCAAUUGUGAAAUCCUGGGGCUCAACCUCAGAAUUGCCUCCGAUACUGGCAGUCUCGAGUGCGGGAGAGGUGAGUGGAAUUCCCAGUGUAGAGGUGAAAUUCGUAGAUAUUGGGAAGAACACCAGUGGCGAAGGCGGCUCACUGGCCCGUAACUGACGCUGAGGUGCGAAAGCGUGGGGAGCAAACAGG